UUCGUGAAGCAGAGAAGUCUGUUGAUACCUUAGCUGAAUCCAUGUUUAGAAAUAUUUUGCCACAUCCAAAUGUUCCUGCUAACAAAGAAAACAAGAAGCCAGCAAGGAAAUCCUUAUCUUUUGUGGACAUAAGAGAUCCCCCCAGUGGAGAUAUUGAAAAACAAAUUGAAAAAUCUAACCAGAUUAUUCAAGGUCAAGGGGAAGUAGAG